AUACGUAGGGGGCGAGCGUUGUCCGGAAUGAUUGGGCGUAAAGGGCGCGUAGGCGGCCUGUUAAGUCUGGAGUGAAAGUCCUGUUUUCAAGAUGGGAAUUGCUUUGGAUACUGAUGGGCUUGAGUGCAGGAGAGGUUAUCGGAAUUCCCGGUGUAGCGGUGAAAUGCGUAGAGAUCGGGAGGAACACCAGUGGCGAAGGCGGGUAACUGGACUGCAACUGACGCUGAGGCGCGAAAGUGUGGGGAGCAAACAGGAUUAGAUACCCUGGUAGUCCACACCGUAAACGAUGAAUGCUAGGUGUAAGAGGUAUCGACCCCUUUUGUGCCGGAGUCAACACAAUAAGCAUUCCGCCUGGGGAGUACGGCCGCAAGGUUGAAACUCAAAUGAAUUGGCGGGG
rnacentral:rRNA from 1 species